rnacentral:rRNA from 1 species
CAACCUGCCUGUUACCACGGCACAGCCCGUCGAAAGGCGGAUUAAUGCCGUAUGUGGUCUUGAAAGGGCAUCUGAUCAUGACUAAAGGUUCAGCGGUAACGGAUGGGGAUGCGUCCGAUUAGCUAGACGGCGGGGUAACGGCCCACCGUGGCUACGAUCGGUAGGGGUUCUGAGAGGAAGGUCCCCCACACUGGAACUGAGACACGGUCCAGACUCCUACGGGAAGCAGCAGUGAGGAAUAUUGGUCAAUGGGCGUAAGCCUGAACCAGCCAAGUAGCGUGGGGGAAGACUGCCCUAUGGGUUGUAAACCUCUUUUGUGCGGGGAUAAAGUGAGGGACGUGUCCCUUAUUGCAGGUACCGCACGAAUAAGGACCGGCUAAUUCCGUGCCAGCAGCCGCGGUAAUACGGAAGGUCCGGGCGUUAUCCGGAUUUAUUGGGUUUAAAGGGAGCGCAGGCCGUCCUUUAAGCGUGCUGUGAAAUGCCGCGGCUCAACCGUGGCACUGCAGCGCGAACUGGAGGACUUGAGUACGCACGAGGUAGGCGGAAUUCGUGGUGUAGCGGUGAAAUGCUUAGAUAUCACGAAGAACUCCGAUUG